rnacentral:misc_RNA from 1 species
AAAAAAAACCCAUGAAAACAAGUACAGAGCUCAGCGGCCAAGAACACCAUCGCCCUGUUUUUUUCUAGUGACUCGAAUGUAGCAAAAAACAGCAGCAAAAAUUGCAGUCACAAGACCACCGAUGAUCACACCACCACCAGCCACUGACUUAUCAGAGGAAUGGUGCUUUCCCAUCCGUCUGAUCUCUGGAGCUUCAGCUUCUCUCCACUCCUCAUAUGGGGAUGGAGAUUCUCCAGGACUUGAUGAAGCAGGCUGAUCCGCAACUCUCGUCGCAAACCCAUUUGAUUGCACCCCACUUUGAACCUUAACCUGAGAUGGGUUUGGCUCAGAUUGGUCAUAAUCCGCAGCUUGAACCAUCAAGAUCCCAGCAAGAAUCAAGAAAACUAAAUUGAAAAGCUUAGCCAUAUCAGAAAACAGAGCAAAAAUGAGUAAUAGCUAGAGCCUAGAGCUAGAGAAAGAAUACUAGUAUCAGAACAGAGCUCGGAACUCUAAGUUAAACUCUGAGCACAGAGGAGAUAUGUAUAUAUAGAUGCCUGGUGGGAAUUUUUGGGUACAGACUUGUGUGGCUUGGAAGCAGUGAGAAGUUCCAAGAAAGUUUCAACCUAAAGAGCCUUCCGCGUGUAAUAAAUUAGGGUUCAAAAAGCAAGGGAGGUUUGGUACUUUUGGU